UAACCCAUUUUUGCUCUAUGCAUAUAUAUAUAUAUAUAUAUAUAUAUAUAUAUGCAUAGAGCAAAAAUGGGUAA